AGGUUGAUAGGUCAGAGGUGUAAGUGUGGUAACAUAUUUAGCUGACUGAUACUAAUAGGUCGAGGGCUUGACCAAA
rnacentral:rRNA from 1 species